CUACGGGUGGCUCCAGUGAGGAGUUUUGCGCAAUGGGGGAAACCCUGACGCAGCAACGCCGCGUGAGUGAAGAAGGCCUUUGGGUCGUAAAGCUCUGUCAACAGGGAAGAAGUUACAAUUGUUUAAUAGAUGAUUGUAUUGACGGUACCUGUGGAGGAAGCGCCGGCUAACUCCGUGCCAGCAGCCGCGGUAACACGGGGGGCGCAAGCGUUAUUCGGAAUUAUUGGGCGUAAAGGGCGCGCAGGCGGUUUUGUCCGUCAGGUGUGAAAGCUCGGGGCUCAACCCCGGAAGUGCACUUGAAACAGCAAGACUUGAAUACGGGAGAGGAAAGCGGAAUUCCUGGUGUAGAGGUGAAAUUCGUAGAUAUCAGGAGGAACACCGAUGGCGAAGGCAGCUUUCUGGACCGAUAUUGACGCUGAGGCGCGAAGGCGUGGGGAGCGAACGGGAUUAGAUACCCGCGUAGUC
rnacentral:rRNA from 1 species